rnacentral:rRNA from 1 species
AUUAACGCUGGCGGCAGGCCUAACACAUGCAAGUCGAGCGGUAACAGAAAGUAGCUUGCUACUUUGCUGACGAGCGGCGGACGGGUGAGUAAUGCCUAGGGAUCUGCCCAGUCGAGGGGGAUAACAGUUGGAAACGACUGCUAAUACCGCAUACGCCCUACGGGGGAAAGGAGGGGACCUUCGGGCCUUUCGCGAUUGGAUGAACCUAGGUGGGAUUAGCUAGUUGGUGAGGUAAUGGCUCACCAAGGCGACGAUCCCUAGCUGUUCUGAGAGGAUGAUCAGCCACACUGGGACUGAGACACGGCCCAGACUCCUACGGGAGGCAGCAGUGGGGAAUAUUGCACAAUGGGGGAAACCCUGAUGCAGCCAUGCCGCGUGUGUGAAGAAGGCCUUCGGGUUGUAAAGCACUUUCAGUUGUGAGGAAAGGGUGUUGCUUAAUACGCAACAUCUGUGACGUUAGCAACAGAAGAAGGACCGGCUAACUCCGUGCCAGCAGCCGCGGUAAUAC